rnacentral:ncRNA from 1 species
CUUGUUGACUGUCAGUUCAGCACUUCUCUGCAUGUGAUAAGCACUAAACCAGCUAGGUUCUGGGAAGAGAAACAAGUAUUGUCCCUCCAGGGACAGCGGCAGGUAGGAGUUUGACUGGGGCGGGUACACCUGUCAAAGCGUAACACAGGCACCCUAAGGCGAGCUCAGGAAGGAUGGAAACCUCCUGAAGAGCAGAAGGGCAAAAGCUCACUUGAUCUUGAUUUUCAGUGCAAACACAGACUGUGAAAGUGAGGCCUCACUAUCCUUCUGGGUUUUGGCAUUUUAAGAAAGAGGUGUCAGAAAAGUUACCACAGGGAUAACUGGUUUGUGGUGGCCAAGUGUUCACAGUCAUGUCGUCUUUUGAUCCUUCGAUGUCGGCUCUUCAUAUCAACGUGAAGCAGAAUUCACCAAUCAUUGGAUUGUUCACCCACUAACAGGGAACGUGGGCUGGGAUUAGACUAUUGUGAGACAGGUUA